rnacentral:lncRNA from 1 species
CAAAAAAAAAAAAAAAAAGAAAAAAAGGAAAGAGUCAUCUGGGUUUGGUGACUAGGAGCGUACUGGUGACCUCAGUGAGAGGGGUUUCAGAGGCUUAUGGAGACAGAUGCAGGUUGAAGUGGGUUGUGGAGCGCGGGAGAGGUAGAAAGCAGUAAACACACCCCCCUGCCAACACCGCUCUCAGGAGACUGGUGUGAAGGGUAGGGGUCAGGACGCUAGCUGGAGAAGGAAUAUGGGUUCAAGGGAGAAGGGCUUUUUUCUUUUUAAUAGAAGAGAUCAGCAAUGUGUUUAGAUGCUGAUGGAAGGAGCCAGAAAAAAGGAAAAGGAGAAUAUUGAGGUGAGACGAGAUCUCCAAAUGCCCAGGUGAGAAGACCAGAUGAAAUGGGGCACAGGAGUAGGGCUAGCUUUGGAGAGGGAGGGGAGCCUCCUCCCCUCAUCCCCUGGAAGAGGAAAUGGCCUAUGAGAAGCCGGUGAGUGAAUGGGUUUGGUGGCAGCAAGUUGAGGAAAUGCCCAUCUGAUGGUGCCUAUGCUCUCUGCUGAAAGUGAGGAAGACGGGGUGGAGUUAGAGGUUAAAGAGAGAAUCUAAGGGCCGGGCACUGUGAGGAGGGCAAGGCAGGAUUGGUGGAGCCCAGGAGUUCAAGACCAGCCUGGGCAACAUAGACCCUGUCUCUACAAAAAAAUUAAAAAUUAGCUGGGUGUGGUGAGGUGUGCCUGUGGUCCCAGCUACUCAGGAAGCUGAGGUAGAAGGAUCACUUGAGUGCAGGAUGUUAAGGCUGCAGUGAGCUGGGAUCACGCCACUGCACUCCAGCCUGAGUGACACAGCAAGACUCUGUCUUUAAAAAAAAAAAAAAGUGGCUGGCCUCGGUGGCUCACGCC